UGUUUGAUUGAAGAGUAAAAUGAGCUAUUGAUUGAUGUAAAGGCGAAAUAAUAUUCAAUCGCCUGUAAAAAAAAAAUUAGUACGAAAAAAAUGGAAAUUUGUUUUAGCAAAUUAUGUGUCACAUUAUUAAUAUCAUUUUGAUAAACAGAUGUUGAUAGUUUCAACAAAUUUUAAACGAUGGCUGAAACCAUAUUACCACAACUGUGCCAUUAAGCAAUAAAGAUGCAAAUAAAUCAGAUCAAUUGUACUGGAUAAUGUUGCUUGUCUUCUCAAUGUUCAAUUGAUUGGAAACCUUUUCAAAUAAAUAAAAAUUACUGGAGUUAACAAAUAUAUUGUUCACAAAUAAUAAAAACCAAAAAACCUAGCGACGCUUCAACAAAUUGGUUUAUGAGGUGAAGAUUACCAUGAAACAGAAGAAUAAUUGAAAUUAAUACCAUCAAUAAAAGAUGGUAGAAAGUGGAAAAAUUGUCAUUGAGUCAAAGCCAUAAAAUUAUGAAAUAUGACUGUCAAGGGAUAUAAUUCAACAGUAUGUAUAUAUUAUGAGCAACAUACAAAACCAAGUCUGGUCGUUUUAUUUUCUUCGUCAUUACCGAGGGUCAGGACAUUGACAAUUGCGCAAAUGUUUGUAGUCUUGCGGCCAGAAGAGUAUUGAAAGUUUACCAAGCUCAUAGAAUGCUCCUGAAAAAUACAGUAAAUCAUAACUAGUGAAUUUAUGGGUCAGUUAUUGGGAUAGAAGCUCAGAACUGACUCUACUGGUAAGCCACACACUUUCUCCUUACUAACCAUUUUUCUUUUGGCUCCUCCUCUCUCUUUCUCUCUCUCUCUCUCUCUUUUUUACCUUAUUUUCAGAGUGUCAUAAAUGUGCAUGGCCAAAGUCAAUUCACUUUCUCGAAUGCCCUGGUAUGCUGUGAAAAAAAAACCCUUUGUUGAAGGGAAAUAAAAUGAAGUUUAGUUUCUAGAAGUCUAAAACCACUGGUGCUAGAGUGUUAAAAAAGAGUUGAA